CCAGAGUCACAGCGUACUCAUAAGUAUGAAACCAAGCACUUACAGAUAAGCUCCGAGGCCGCAAACUUUUAAAGAAACGUACACCAUCAGAGGAAUACUGUGAGAUGUUUCCCCUGUGUACUGCCCAUCAACUUUGAGCACUUGACUGCUCCAAAACUCAGUGGUUCCAGCUCCAAUACAGGACACCUUUUAACAUGUGUAAUAUGAGAUUCUUUAUUUUUCUGUUAUGUCAGAUUUCUUUUAAGUUACAAUGUCAUGUCUUGAAGUGAAAGUGCAAUACAACAUUUAAAUAAUCUGUAACACUGUCUUUGGGUUGACUUACAAAUGAAAAUUCUGUCAUUUACUCACCCUCAUGUUUUUUUUAAAACCUGUCCUGUUUAGUUUCUUCUGUGGAAUAUGAGAAUACAUUGUAAAAUGUAGAUGCUGCUAAUGAGGCUGAAAUGAAAGCGAGGCUGUUAGUCCCUAUCAUUAUUCCUGACAUCUCCUUUUGAGUUCCUCCAACAGAAGAAAGUCAGUCGUUUGGGUUUGGAACAACAUGAAUAUGAGUAUAAAUGAUGACUCAUCUCAUUUGACCUAAAAAAUUUUGUCAUUUAGUUGACAAAUCUUUUAUUGAGUACUAUCAAGGCAUUUUGAGGUAAAUUGGUUUUAAAGAGUGUCUGUUUUUUUUAAACACUUUAAAGCAAGUUUGUUGGCUAAAAGGUAUGAUUUUUUGGUCACAAAUUACAGGUUGUAACUACAAAAGACAAUAAAUUUGAGUACAUGUA